AGUGAACGCUGGCGGUAGGCCUAACACAUGCAAGUCGAACGGCAGCACCGUAAGAGCUUGCUCUUACGGGUGGCGAGUGGCGGCCGGGCGAGGAAUACAUCGGAAUCUACAUUUUCGGGGGGGCAAACGUAGGAAAACUUACGCUAAUCCCGCAUACGACCUUCGUGUGUAAGCAGGGGAUCUUCCGACCUUGCGCGAUUGCAUGAGCCGAUGUCGUAUUAGCUAGUCGGCGGGGUAACGGCCCACCAAGGCGACGCUCCGUAGCUGGUCUGAGAGGAUGACCAGCCAGACUGGAAGUGAGACACGGGCCGGACUGCUACGUGAGGCAGCAGUCGGGAAUGUGGGACAACAGUCGCAAGCCUGAUCCAGACAGACCGCGUGAGGGUAGAAGGCCUGCGGGUUGUAAAGCCCUUUUGUUGGGAAAGAAAAGCAGCAGGUUAAUAUCCAGAUGUUCUGACGGUACCCAAAGAAGAAGCACCGGGUAACUUCGUG
rnacentral:rRNA from 1 species